rnacentral:lncRNA from 1 species
AUGCCUUUAAUACAUAAACAAGGUAAGGUACAUAAAGAAAAAGAAAAAAAAAAUAAAAUAACUCCCUUAUCAGAUAGAAGCGAUAACUACUUAGACAACUGUCAUGAUAACAAAAGGAAUGUUAACAAAAGGAAUGUUAAUGAAAAAUAUAAAAAAAAAAAGGAAAAAUUAAAAACAAAAAUUCGAUUUUAUAAUUAUAUAAAAGGUUUAUAUACAAAUAUAUUAACAAAAGUUAGUUCAAAUGAAUUAUAUUUAAAUACGAUUAGUGAAAAAAAACUAUGGGCAAUAAAUAUUGACGAUUUGAUAUGUUUUAUUCCACCAUUUGACAAGGGAUUUAAUUUUUCAUUAUAUAUAAAUAGAUUUAUUAUUUAUGAUUAUAAUAAAAUCAAUAUAUGUAAUAAUAAUUAUGAGUAUCGCCUUUUUAUUAAAAACGAGGCUGAACGAAAAUAUAUAAAAUUAUGUAAUAAAAUAGUAUCUACCUAUAAUUUUUUACAUUCUAUUAAACAUUUACUAAAAGGAAAUAUAAAAAAAAAUGUGUUUUUAAAUAAAUUAAAAAAAACUGUAUAUAAUAAUCAAUUUUAUUUUAUCGCAUAUGAAGAUUUCAAACGUGUUCAUUUUAUUACUCAAUUAAAAAAUACGAUAUUUAUAUUACACAAUAAAACUAUAAUGAAUUUAAUAGCAUAUUUUUCAGAAUUAUCAAAUGAUUUGUUUGCAUUUUUACAUGUAUAUACAAUAUUUCCUGAAACAACGUUUCCUAAUUUUAUUAAAUCUUAUUCAUUUGUAAAUGUUGACAACUUCAAAAAAGGUUUAUUACUACAUAAUAAACUUAUAAACAACUAUAUUAAAAUAAUUAAAAACGGAAUUAAAAAAAGUGGCACAAAAGGUUUUAUGUACGAAUUGGAUUAUGACCAUAUGUACGAUCAUAAUUCUAAUUUGUUAAACACCACAGAACAUAGUUUAGAAUUGGACAUAAAUGAUUAUAACUUAAAUGGGUACGUUCGGGAUAGGUACGAUAGGGAUAGGUAUGAUCGGGAUAGGUAUGAUCGAGAUAGGUACGAUCGGGAUAGGUAUGAUCGAGAUAGGUACGAUCGGGAUAGGUACGAUCGGGAUAAGUACGAUCGGGAUAAGUACGAUCGGGAUAAGUACGCUCGGGAUAGGUACGCUCAAAAUGUUAAUGAAAGUUAUGAAUCAUCGAUAUUUAACAGUAAUAGUUUUAGAAAUAAUUUGAGUUGUAAUGGUAAUAAAAAUGGUAGGUCAGGUAGUAGUGGUAGUCACUUGAGUUUGAAAAAACAAAAAUUAGAUUCGCCACUUGAUUCGAAUAAAAUAACGGAACAAAGUGAUUAUAACAACUAUUAUUUAAACGUUCUAAAUAGCAUCAACAGGUUAAAACAAAAAUUGAUUGAUUCUGAAAAAAAAGUAAACUAUGACUAUUUAUUACAAAAUAAAUGCGAAUAUUAUAAUAGUACAAAUAAUGAAGAGCUUAAAGAAAUAGAAGAUAAGGAUUAUUAUUUAUUAUUAUUUAUAAAUUGCAAUUUAUUAUUUUUUUUAUAUUUUUAUACGAAAUAUAACACUGCGCUAGAUUAUGUUGCAACUGAAAACACUUUUAAACUUAAGACUAAUUAUACUUAUCCUGUUAAAAAAAUAAAAUUCCAGAAAACAUUAAAUAUAUUAAAAAUAUAUGAAAAUAUUAAAAAAAAAAAAAAAUUUAUUGAUAUAAGUAGUCAUUGUAUGUCCAGAAAAUUAAGUGAUAUAAGACAGUUUAAAGUUUCUACAUCAAUAAUAGGAAAUAAACAAUAUAAAAAAAAUACUUCUAUUUGUAACUUAGGGAGGGUUAACAAGUAUUUUCAGGUUGGGGUGCAUGGUUUUGGUAAUGUUCUGAAUGAACAAGAUGAGGGGGACGUAUAUAACAUGUCUGGUAAUUUGUGUAACACGUACGACAAUAUUAAAAACGAAAGAGGCUCAUACGACAAACGCAAUCAAAAUUACAAAACUAAUAAAAGAAUUGUUCCAGCACCAGUUAUAGCAAGCAUAUUAAAAAAUAGUAAAAUUUUAAACAAUGAUUCGUAUAAUAAUAUAAAAGAAAAAAAAAAGAAAAAGGGAUUAAAGAAAAUGAAACAAUCAAACUUGGAAACAAAAAAAAAACAAAAAGAACAGAGGAAUAAAUCAUGUGUUAUAACUUCGAAUAAUGAAAAAGGUAUAGAAACUGAUAAUAGCAAUAAUAAAGUAAAAAUUAAAAAAUCAGAAGGAGGAGCAUCUAUAACACAUUUUGGUUCGAUUAUGUUUACUGAUAUAGAAGAAGACAAUACAAAUGAAAAAGAUAAAAAGGAUAAAAGGGAUAAAAAAGAUAAUUACAACUCCAUAUAUGAAAAAAAAGGAAUAUCAUCCCAAAUAAAAACAACUUUUCAGAAAUUUUUUACUAGAAAAACAUCAUCCAUUUUGUUAAUAAAUAAAAAUAAUAAAAUAGAAAAUAAAACAGACGGAGAAAAAAAAAAAGUGUUUAAUAAUGUCGACAAUGAAGGUUUUUCUUUAAAAAAUUAUAAUCAAAUAUUGUAUGAAAAAACGAAAAAAGAACAAGCACAGUUGUAUCGUAAUACACUUUCGUAUAAAAGUAUAAAUAAUUUUAACAAUAAAUAUAUAAAUUUUAAGUUCGAGGUGAGUAUGUUCGAGUUUUGGUUUAUCCAAAAUGAUUUAUUUGAUAAGGAAAGUAGUGUUAAUGCUGGUACUGGUGGUAGUGUUAGAAAUCGUUCUAGUAGCAACCGUCAUAAAAUUAAACAAAAGGAACAUAUGAAUAAGUUUAUGAAAAAAAAAGAUAACGUGUCUGAUUUUUAUUCGAAAGAUGAUGAUGGUGGUAGUGAUGGUGGUGGUGAUAGUGGUAGUGGUAGUGAUAGUGGUAGUGAUAGUGAUGAUGAUGUAGUAGUAAAAAAAAAAAAAAAGGGCCAACGGAAUUGA